ACGAAAUUUCAAGAUACUUCAGAUGUAUUUUUUAUGAGGGAUCGGCAUGUAACAGAAACAUUUCAAGUUAUUCGCUAUACAUGUUGAAAUAUCAAAGCCAAUUUCAUUAUUAGUGCUGAAAUCUACAACAACUUGACAGAAUUUAGACAACCUAAUCAACUGAACAGUUGGAAGCUGAAAAGAUAAAUUUCACAACGGGAACAGAUGAUUUGUGUAAACUCUCCAAGGCUUUCUAGAAACAUAAGUGGAAGGAUGCAUCUACUGGAAUUAGACUUGGAUUUUUGGCAAAGAAACCAAUGGAGCCG